rnacentral:rRNA from 1 species
GACGAACGCUGGCGGCGUGCUUAACACAUGCAAGUCGAACGGAAAGGCCCUGCUUUUGUGGGGUGCUCGAGUGGCGAACGGGUGAGUAACACGUGAGUAACCUGCCCUUGACUUUGGGAUAACUUCAGGAAGCUGGGGCUAAUACCGGAUAGGAGCUCCUGCUGCACGGUGGGGGUUGGAAAGUUUCGGCGGUUGGGGAUGGACUCGCGGCUUAUCAGCUUGUUGGUGGGGUAGUGGCUUACCAAGGCUUUGACGGGUAGCCGGCCUGAGAGGGUGACCGGCCACAUUGGGACUGAGAUACGGCCCAGACUCCUACGGGAGGCAGCAGUGGGGAAUAUUGCACAAUGGGCGGAAGCCUGAUGCAGCAACGCCGCGUGCGGGAUGACGGCCUUCGGGUUGUAAACCGCUUUCGCCUGUGACGAAGCGUGAGUGACGGUAAUGGGUAAAGAAGCACCGGCUAACUACGUG